GAUGAACGCUGGCGGCGUGCCUAAUACAUGCAAGUCGAGCGAACAGACGAGGAGCUUGCUCCUCUGACGUUAGCGGCGGACGGGUGAGUAACACGUGGAUAACCUACCUAUAAGACUGGGAUAACUUCGGGAAACCGGAGCUAAUACCGGAUAAUAUAUUGAACCGCAUGGUUCAAUAGUGAAAGACGGUUUUGCUGUCACUUAUAGAUGGAUCCGCGCCGCAUUAGCUAGUUGGUAAGGUAACGGCUUACCAAGGCAACGAUGCGUAGCCGACCUGAGAGGGGGAUCGGCCACACUGGAACUGAGACACGGUCCAGACUCCUACGGGAGGCAGCAGUAGGGAAUCUGCCGCAAUGGGCGAAAGCUUGACGGAGCAACGCCGCGUGAGUGAUGAAGGUCUGCGGAUCGUAAAACUCUGUUAUUAGGGAAGAACAAAUGUGUAAGUAACUAUGCACGUCUUGACGGGACCUAAUCAGAAAGCCACGGCUAACUACGU
rnacentral:rRNA from 1 species